UUCCACAGCCACCUCUUGGGUCCUGCUGUGCCCAUCCUGAGCUUCCAACCUCACGGAGAUGCACCUAGGUGCUCACGCCAGGACCAGGUAGAGCCCAGUACCUGUCCUUCCAGGCAUGGGUGUGGCUUGGGGACAAAUUUCUUACCAAGAGAAAUAUGGCUAGAGAGGGCUUCAGGCCUAUCACCAGGCAGGGCUGCGCCCAGGCUGCAGGACAGGCUAUGCCCCGCCUGGCCCCGCCCUCACCACCAUGCGCUUGCUCAAUGGAGAACUGAGUUUCUGACCGGGCCUCGUCUGUGCCAGCUGUCCCUGGUGAGAUUCCCAAGGCUGUGCCUGGUAUUUGCCAUGGUUCUCAGCUUCACCUUCUAGACAUCCAGGUCUUGCUGGCCUGGAAAGUGAAACCCUUCCUCCUCAGCCUCCUGCGCAGCCCAGCUAUGGAAUUCCAAGACAUAAUUCCAUUUUGUCCUCCGCUCCCAACUGAGACCUCAAUGAUCCGGUGAUGCUGUGAUUCUCCAGGACAGGAAACAUCCUGGGAGCUGCAAACAUCCUGGGAGAACAAACAUCUACUCAGUUCCUCCUUGAUCUUGGACUGUUACACCUUGUUUACCCAGGAUGUACUGAACUCUCUGCGAGUCAUUUGUUACAUUUGUUUCUCCCGAUGUACUGAGUACUGAAUAAAAGGUGCAGUAAGCUGGGGGCUUUCUGCCUUUGCCCCCCAGAGCAGCACUGAUCAGACCCAAAGCUCAGCUUCUUCUCAGUCUCAUUUUUCUACCUUUUCUGUAAUUUGCCUUGUGCUGCUGUGGCUCGCAGGAGACUAGGACUUAACUGCAGAGGUUCUGGUAACGUCCCCUUUCCCUGUUCUCUACAACAGUGCUAUCACAUUAUCCUCUCAAUUGUAGGAUUACAGGUUGUGGCAUUUUAUCUAUAGUUUCAAGUGUUAUACAACGAAUCUGUAUUACUUGUAAAGCAAAACUAUAAGUGUGAAAAAGAAAAUCAUCUCUAGCUUUUUCAAAAGCAGAUUAUUUUGGCAUUUCCCCAGAACGGCUGUGUCUCAGCAUGGCACUGUGGGCCAUGAAGGGAUGCUCAGCAUCUGCACAGGGUCGUUCCUUGACUUCCUCUAAUACGGUGGACUGCGUUGUUUUUCUUUCUUUCUUUUUUUUUUUGGUACCGGGGAUUGGACUGCAUUUUUAAGAAGUUAUUGAGAAUGUAAUUGAGUUUCUUCUAGCUUCUCAUCCCUUCAGGGCUGCUGCCAACCUGGGAAUGUCCUGUCAGCUCGUUUGUGUAUCCUUGUGUCCUUCAGUGAGCCCUCCACUCACCCUAUGUGCAUUCUUCUAGGGACAUGAUAUUUCAACUCAAAAGGCAGCUUUUAAAGGGGAUAUAUUUACUCUGUGCUGCCACUAUGGAAAUCAGUACAGAGGUUCCACAAAAAACUAAAAACAGAGGGAAUGGAGAUUUAGCUCAGUGGUUCCGCCGCCUGCCUUGCAAGCACAAGGUCCUGAGUUCAAUCCCCGGUACCCCCCCCCCAAUAAAUAAAAUAAUCACAACUAUAAUGAAAAACAUUACAUUCUCACAAUUGAAAAAAAACCCCAAUAACAAAAAACUAAAAACAGCUAUUAUAAGCCCCAGGCCCCAGAGAUACCACUCCUUGGUGUACACAGGAAGGCAUUAGGCAGCCUACUAUAGGCAUACUGGGGAGCCAUAUUUAUUGCUGCAAAAUUCACCAUCGUCA
rnacentral:lncRNA from 1 species